rnacentral:rRNA from 1 species
GCGCAAGCCUGAUGCAGCCAUGCCGCGUGUAUGAAGAAGGCCUUCGGGUUGUAAAGUACUUUCAGCGGGGAGGAAGGGAGUAAAGUUAAUACCUUUGCUCAUUGACGUUACCCGCAGAAGAAGCACCGGCUAACUCCGUGCCAGCAGCCGCGGUAAUA